UUCAGUCACCAUUCUACCAGGUCAAAGAAAGGGGAAGAGUGAAUCAGUCCAGAAAAAAUGAAAACUAUUCUGAAUGCUGGCUCAUAAAAUUAAAGGCAACUUUUAAAAUCUCAGCAAAAAAAAAAAUUUGGCUAAUCUUCUACCACUCUCUUAUUUCUGUGUACUGGUGUACACCUGGUGUAAUUCCCAUCCCAGAUGAAAGUAGAAAUACCAGGAUACACAAGUAAUUGUUGGUACUGUAGCUCUUCAGGUCAGGAAGAAGUAGUGGGGAUUUCUCAUGAAUUAUCCUACCAGUUUCUGCAAGUGUGUCUGUACAGCCUUGAGUGUCUCUGCCUCUUCUAGAGCAGACACUGUAAGGCACCAGCAAUAGCACCAUUUCUGGUUGUGACUCAGUACAAUUUGGCUGCAACAUCUCAGAUGCAUCAUCCCAUGAGCUCUGGAGCUCUCCACACAUUGCUUCGUGUCCAAGUUUGCAUUUAGUGGAAAGAGAAAGUAAAGUGAAAGGGUAGCACCCUCUGUGACACAGAGCAAGAAAUGAAGGCAGGACUGAGAGAGACUAAAAAUGCUGUAUGGUGGCAAUUCUCAAUCAUUGUAACAGCCCUCAGGAGAGCUGCUACAAAGCAGAAUAGCUUGUAACAGCCGUGUGGGGCCAGAGCCAGAGCAAGGAAGGUAUCAGCCAGCUCUGUCCCCAUCACAGAACUGAAGCUUAGCGUGACUUGGAUUUGUUUUCUCUCUCGGCAAUGGGGAUCUACGGAUGCCAGAUGAUUAGGGCUCUUAACAAAAAAUGUAAAGUAGAAGUAUCACAUAACCCUGCAAUCUGCUCACCUUUCAUCCAGAGAUUACUUUCUCUUUUAGAUCCUUCUUCUGUCCCUCCUGGAUGGAGCAUUCACUUCUCCAGAGCAUUGGCAAUGUGAUGCCAUGAUCAUGCAGGCCUGGACGAACCUCGGUUUUUCCAGUACCACCAUCAGGAUGAAAACGUGACCUUUUGCAGCAGCCAGACCUGCCCAUAAUCCUCAGGUCACUGGUGACAGAAUGCCUGACAUCCACAUAUUGCCUACAAACAUUCCAGGAAAUCUCUCUGAGGCAAAGCCCCUUUGGCCAUGCGCUGCUAUGUGAGGCAGCCUCCAUCUCUUUGCAUUUCAAUCCCAUCCAUCUACAGCCAAUCAUCUGGGAAUCUUGUCACUUGCAUGAAGUCUGUGCUCCAUAAUUACAAGGGCCAAACUAAGGUCUUUAAAUGGUUUGUGAGGUGACUCAGGUGAUGAGGAUGUGACCUAAGGUAUCAAAACUUCCAGCAAUAAAGGGGGCAUCAUCUUAGCUAAUCCCCUUCAGGGGCUGGUAUGUGGCAAGCACUGGAAUGCACCACUUUUUUCCCUCUGGCUUGAUAUAACUACUUUCAGUGUUAUUUAAAGCUCUGACUAAUCACAGGCAAUGGCCAGGUUUAUAAUGCAACAGUGUGUAGCCUGGAGCAAAUUCUGACAUAAUUACACUGUAUAAAUUCUCCCAUUAGAAAUGACACUGCAUUGGCAUUGUAUAAGAAGCAGCCAUGGUCCAGUCAACUGGCUCUGUGAAAAUCUGUCUGACAAUUGUUUACCCUGUUGAUAUCUUAUUGACACUUCUUACAAUUAUGAGACUGUUACAUGACAGCACAUGGAAGCUAAAGGCUGAAGAGUCUCUCCUUCCCUUGUGAUGGCUUCGACUGUGGUUGUUUUCUUGCCUGGUUUUCUCUGGGUGAGGCCUUGCUCAGUUCUGAUCACUCUGAAGUAGAAAAAGAAGCAUGUGGUUAUGGUACAAAUCACAAAAGCCCAUAGAAAUCCUGACUGGGGUUGCAUCAUCUGCUUCAAGGAGCAAUUACUCCCCUAGGUCCCAUCCCUUCACUGCAGUGGGAUUAUGGGCCAUAUUAGGAUUUGUUCCGACCUGGCAUUGCCUUGCUCCAUGGCAGGGUAGCGAGAGCCAAGCUGCUCUCCUGCUGGUUUUAGCUUGUGCCAGUGGAGCAGCAGGGUGUUGUGAAGGGCUAAUUUGUCAGAUCCUGGUAUGUUGCUUUGCAAAAUGACUAGAUGAUAUAUUUGUUUCCCACUGCGGUGUCAGGACUGUGGCACAUUUGGACAGCCUGGGAAGAGGGAGACUGCACCCUUGCUUGGGAGGACAAUGAUAGAACCCUCAAGACUGUGGCCAAUGCCAUUUGGGCAAAGGAAACCAAACACAUUUCCAGUUUUGGAGCACUGAUUCAAUGUAGGUCAAGGAAAGAUAUUGACCUUUUUGGCCAUUAUCUUACAUAAGGAUCACAAAAUUAAAAAUAAUAAUCCAAAUAAAUUCAAUGAAUAUUGGUUAUAAAAACAAAAUCUUGUAGAGAAUUUCAAAACAGUUUUAUCAUCUCCCUGAGGAAGGUUCAGGAGGGACCCACUGAAAAUGUAUCUUAAACAACAGGCUUUCUAGCACCAGAACAGCAACAAAUGUUGAGAGGUUGGGAUGGGGCAGUAUGAUUCCAGCCUCCCUCUAAUCUGGGAGACCUGAGCUAAUUUCAAGUAUGGGGAAUGGGAUCUGGAGCCUUUUCAGAUCUUCAGUUUUAAGUUGGCUCAGGAGACCAGCAGGUCUCCAAAACUGGCAAACUUAAGAAAUAAAUUGAGGGGGAUUUUAUAGUUAUAACUGAAAAAAAAAAAAAAUCCUACCUGUAGAGGAUUAUCCCUUGUAGUAUGUUGUCUAUACCAGUUAAUUUACAAAACCCCAAUGACUGAGUUUCGUUGUGAAGAAAGUGAGAAAGACUAUUCUUUAAGGGAUGUAUUGACACAACUACUUGGGAAUCUUCUGGGCUUGAUGCAAUACAAGUAACAUUGUUGGCAUUUGUCCAUUUUUCCAUUUUCUAACAUAUGAACUCAUUAACCCCCCCACCCCAAAAUCUGAGGCAAUGCUGCCUGUCUUUUGUUUGUUUGUUUGUUUUCAGCAUCAUCAGGAAAGCUGUGAUCUGGAUGCCCCACACAGUCUCCUUCUUAAGCAAUACAACACUGGAGUUCCACUGCAUUUAUUUCUAGACAACUGACAAAUAUUCCAGCUAGAAUACCUUUGCUGAGCUCCUGACUGAGCCAGGCCAAGCCUGCCACAUGGAAAGGACUUUUUACCUGUGUCCUGCUUAUCUGCAAGUGUGAAACAGAUACUGGGCAAAAUACAAUCUGUUCCUGGGUGCAUAAAAGCUUGGCUAAAAACUUGAGAGAGAGCAAUCCUGAAAAGGCUGGGAUUCACAGAAGCACUGGAGAUGUUCAGAUACCCUUGUUAUCUUCCCUGCAUUGACAGCAGACCAGAGGUGACAGCACCACCCAGGCCUCACCUUGCUGGCACCGCGGGCUGUACUCCACAGCCCUGCUCCCCACCUCUUCUCUGGGGCAUUCUUGCAUAAAGCCCACCACUCAGGGUGGGAUGGGCCCCACCUUCCCUUGGAGGCACUGCUGCAUUCCCUGCCUUCCCUCCCGGUCCCUCCCUGCUCCACAGCCCUUCCCACCUACCCACCACAUUGCCUGGCUGCUCAGGACAUCUACAGCAACUUCCUACAGCAGUGUCAUGUGAGAAAAGCAUCUAAAGCUUUCGCAGCUAAAAUGCCAUGUAAACAAAGAGGUAAGUUCACCCCACCCCACACCCCAAAGCUAUUGUGAUGUUGAUUUUUCCAAUGGCCACCGGCCACACUUUGGGAGCAGGACCCCUAGAGGAGUGCCGGUACCAAUGGGUACAGCCCUGCUGAGGACUCGGAGCCCCCGCUGCCUUCCAGGCCAAGUCAGGGUGUCCCCGGGAGAUUUGCCUGUAUAAGGCUCCAA